rnacentral:rRNA from 1 species
UACGAAGGGGGCUAGCGUUGCUCGGAAUUACUGGGCGUAAAGGGCUCGUAGGUGGUCAACUAAGUCGGACGUGAAAUCCCUCGGCUUAACCGGGGAACUGCGUCCGAUACUGGAUGACUUGAGUUCGGGAGAGGGAUGCGGAAUUCCAGGUGUAGCGGUGAAAUGCGUAGAUAUCUGGAGGAACACCGGUGGCGAAGGCGGCAUCCUGGACCGACACUGACGCUGAGGAGCGAAAGCCAGGGGAGCAAACGGG